AUUGAACGCUGGCGGCAGGCCUAACACAUGCAAGUCGGACGGUAGCACAGAGGAGCUUGCUCCUCGGGUGACGAGUGGCGGACGGGUGAGUAAUGUCUGGGGAUCUGCCCGAUAGAGGGGGAUAACCACUGGAAACGGUGGCUAAUACCGCAUAACGUCGCAAGACCAAAGAGGGGGACCUUCGGGCCUCCCACUAUCGGAUGAACCCAGAUGGGAUUAGCUAGUAGGCGGGGUAACGGCCCACCUAGGCGACGAUCCCUAGCUGGUCUGAGAGGAUGACCAGCCACCCUGGAACUGAGACACGGUCCAGACUCCUACGGGAGGCAGCAGUGGGGAAUAUUGCACAAUGGGCGCAAGCCUGAUGCAGCCAUGCCGCGUGUAUGAAGAAGGCCUUCGGGUUGUAAAGUACUUUCAGCGGGGAGGAAGGCGAUGUGGUUAAUAACCGCGUCGAUUGACGUUACCCGCAGAAGAAGCACCGGCUAACUCCGUGCCAGCCGCCGCAGUAA
rnacentral:rRNA from 1 species